CUUCUUGCAUUGUGUUCAAAGCAAUUCAGCCAAGCAUAAGUGCCUAUGUCUUGUUUGCAGCUUAAUUUGGUUGCAAACUAGAGUAAAAGACUGUGGAUAUUCUGAUUAUUUUUAAAUUUCAUCACCAAUGAAACAAGUUCUAACACUUUUCUUUUGUUUUCUAUGAAUCAGGGGUUUUUGAGAAAACCAGCAACUACUACAGAACAUCUGCACCUGAGUUGAAAGAGAAAAGAGCAAAGCCAUUGGAAGAGUGGAUGAACAUAGAAAGCAGUUUUGAUAUGAGGAAUACAUUGACUACAUGUUCCCAGAGGAAACUCAGACGACUAAUCUUAGAAUAUUGGAAGCUGCACAUAAGUGGAAGAAGCAAAAGAUUUCUGAUAAAGACUAGCAUGGUAACGUGCUUUUGUAGAAUUGAAGCUUUUGGUGUAAAUACAUUAUUGCUUUUUUAAUGUUAAUUGGGUGAAAAUGAAGUAGCCUUGACAGCUAGUAGGGCAAUAAGUUUUGCUAGAGAACUUUGCAUUUCUAAGGUAGAGUUCGAAGGAGAUAGUCAGAGAGUUGUCACAGCUAUCAACAACCAGGCGCCAUCAAAAACCAUGGUUUGGUCAUGUUAUUGAAGAGAUUUAGAUGUUGUAAGAGAUUUUUCAUAAAUAUAGCUUCAAACAUGUAAAAAGAGAGGGCAACCAGCUUGCUCAUUCCCUUGCUAGAACAUUGAUGGGCAUUUUUUUUCUUCUUCUUUC